GACAAAAUCUUUUGUCACAAAAAGUAGAAAAACUACUCUCUUUUCACCUAAGCAACAGUCUUAGGUAGACAAGGAUUGAGGAGACAACGCCAACCUUACAACUGAGUGAGGUAGGAUGAAGGAGCUUUGAUGUUGCUUCUCUCAUUUUUUAAUAUAUUUUUUUCUGAUCCUGGGAUUAAAUCUAAUACUCUAUAUGUUCUAGGAAAGUACUUUAUCACACAGCUAUAUUACCAGUUCUUAAAAAAUUAAUUAUCAUGAUUAUAUUAUUACAUUUCUUGUGCAUGUUCGGAACAUGUUUAAACUGAUAUACCAGUAGAAGUUGGAGGACAACGUGCAAGCUGAGUGCUCCAUUUCCACAUUUGAGCUUCAGGGACUGAACUCGAGAUAUUUGGCAAAGGGUUUUGCGGCGGCCAGUUAUCUCCGUGGCCCAGGUUGAAGACAGGGUCCGGGUUGAGAAUGUAGCCCAGAAUGGCCUUAAAUUUUCCAUUCCUUUGCCUUUGCCUCUAGAUUGUUCAAAUUAUACAGCAUUUCCUAAAUUUUAUUUUUAAGUCGGGGUCUAGAGGCUCAGGAGGUACGUUGGCCUUGAACUCACAAUUUUCUCACCUCAGCUCCCUAGCAUGAGUCACUGUCCUCACCUUACUCAAAAGUAUUUUAUCAAACCACGACUACCAACAGUUUCCAAUGAUUCUAAAUUAUUAAUCUUUCAUAAUCAAAAUGUUUUUGAUACUUUUUCUAAAGUAUUUGUUCUAAAAGAUUAAGCUAAAGGCAACUUCUGUCCUCCUCCAUCCAGCCUGGCCUCUUGGUAUCUCCUGAGGGAGCGGGGCUGGCACGUGAUUCUCAGGCGCAUGCGUGCUCCCUCAGCAUUCUCAGGGCAUUCCUGCUUGGCCUCAGAGGGCGCGGCGCCAUUUUUGAAGGCGGUGGUGGGUUUCUGUUUCCCUCAAGCUUUGGUAUUUUUGUUUUGUUUUGGCAAAAAGUUUUUAGCUCCUUUCUAGGAGUAAAGAAACUGUGCUUUUCUGUCCGUCCGCAGCACGAACAGAAAAGUCUCUGCAGGACUGGUCUUAAGGCAGCUUCAUGGCAGAAGAGAUACAGAUUGACAUCCUGACUCCAGACAUCAGGGCUGCUGCAGAGAGGACGACUGACUCCAGACAACACCGUGGUGCUGCAGAGACAACUGACUGCAGACAACACCAUUGAUGCUAUAGAGACAAUGACUGACUCCAGACAACACCAUUGGUACUCAAAGAGACAAUGGUGGCAUCCCCUACCUUCAGAAAGCCCUGGUUUCUUGCUUCUGUGUUUAUGUUUUUCAAAUCCUAGUUCAAAUAAAUGCUAAAGUGUUAA